rnacentral:lncRNA from 1 species
GUGUGUGCAAAAAUGUUAUAACAUUGGCUUUAAUGUACAUAAACUCUGUUAUCAUAGUUAUAGAGUUAUGUAUUCUCGUGUAUUGUAUAAUUCUUUUGACGUUUUUGGGCUCUAUGAUUUCUGGUCAAGGGAGGUUGGUGAAAACACAUAAUUCAGAAUGUUCUCACGAACCUUGCUUUUUUUUUUUUUUGGUAAAUGUAAUAGACAAC